GAUGAACGCUGGCGGUAUGCUUAACACAUGCAAGUCGUACGAAGAUAAAUUGUGCUUGCAUAAUUUUAUACUGAGUGGCGGACGGGUGAGUAACACGUAAGAACCUACCUUUUGGCGAGGGACAACCACUGGAAACGGUGGCUAAUACCUCAUAUUGCUGAGAAGUGAAAGAUGAAUAAUCACCAAAAGAUGGGCUUGCGGCUGAUUAGCUUGUUGGUGAGGUAAUGGCUUACCAAGGCAAUGAUCAGUAGCUGGUCUGAGAGGAUGAUCAGCCACACUGGGACUGAGACACGGCCCAGACACCUACGGGUGGCAG
rnacentral:rRNA from 1 species